CAGCAGCCACGGGAAUACAGAGGGUGCGAGCGUUAAUCGGAUUUACUGGGCGUAAAGCGUGCGUAGGCGGCUUCUUAAGUCGGAUGUGAAAUCCCUGAGCUUAACUUAGGAAUUGCAUUCGAUACUGGGAAGCUAGAGUAUGGGAGAGGAUGGUAGAAUUCCAGGUGUAGCGGUGAAAUGCGUAGAGAUCUGGAGGAAUACCGAUGGCGAAGGCAGCCGUCUGGCCUAAUACUGACGCUGAGGUACGAAAGCAUGGGGAGCAAACAGGAUUAGAUACCCCGGUAGUCCCUGUCUCUUAUAC
rnacentral:rRNA from 1 species